GUUCUAAUGUGUAGUUCAGGAGUAGAAUUGGGCUUUUAAGUCCUCUGGACUGUGCUGCUAUCCUGUGGAACACUAAAUGAUCUGGUGACUGCCAGUCAGUACUACUGUGAAGACUAGAGGAGAUUCAUGGAGGCUGAAGGUGAUGAUGAUGAUGCCGAGGCUGAUGAUGAUGAAACUGACAAAGAUGCUCAUAUUACAGAAGAGAGUGCACAUGAUGAGUUGUAGGGAGGGAGAGCACCGUUGUGGUUUUCUGCUGACAAUUCACUCUCUCGAGAUCUCUGAAUUUUUUUCUUGCUUAGUUUAUUUGUAGCUUUUAGUUUUGUUUGUGUUUUAGGAAAAGAAACAUUGGUGGCUGCAUAGCAAGCAAGAACUGUGGCUAAUUGUUUUAAUC